rnacentral:rRNA from 1 species
GCGAACAGGAUUAGAUACCCUGGUAGUCCACGCUGUAAACGAUGUCGAUUUGGAGGUUGUGCCCUUGGGGCGUGGCUUCCGGAGCUAACGCGUUAAAUCGACCGCCUGGGGAGUACGGCCGCAAGGUUAAAACUCAAAUGAAUUGACGGGGGCCCGCACAAGCGGUGGAGCAUGUGGUUUAAUUCGAUGCAACGCGAAGAACCUUACCUACUCUUGACAUCCAGAGAACUUUCCAGAGAUGGAUUGGUGCCUUCGGGAACUCUGAGACAGGUGCUGCAUGGCUGUCGUCAGCUCGUGUUGUGAAAUGUUGGGUUAAGUCCCGCAACGAGCGCAACCCUUAUCCUUUGUUGCCAGCGGUUCGGCCGGGAACUCAAAGGAGACUGCCAGUGAUAAACUGGAGGAAGGUGGGGAUGACGUCAAGUCAUCAUGGCCCUUACGAGUAGGGCUACACACGUGCUACAAUGGCAUAUACAAAGAGAAGCGACCUCGCGAGAGCAAGCGGACCUCAUAAAGUAUGUCGUAGUCCGGAUUGGAGUCUGCAACUCGACUCCAUGAAGUCGGAAUCGCUAGUAAUCGUAGAUCAGAAUGCUACGGUGAAUACGUUCCCGGGCCUUGUACACACCGCCCGUCACACCAUGGGAGUGGGUUGCAAAAGAAGUAGGUAGCUUAACCUUCGGGAGGGCGCUUACCACUUUGUGA